CUUGGGCUUCCCAGGAAAACGUUUCUCAGAUCACAUUGCUGUUUGGCUUCUCGUCCAGAAGAUGUAAGAAUAUUGAUUGGGACUUGCAAUCGUCGCGUUGAAUUGAUUGAUGUUGAACCCGGAAAAUAUUGGCAUGUGUCUAUUAUGGGAAGGGUAAGCCGAAAGAUCCGAACAAUUUCUUUAAAAUGUUCACAAAUGAAGUCCAAGAGGUUUUCGCCAACGGUGGUAUCCACUUCAAGAAUCAUUUAGUAAAAAUAAAGUUCAGAUGCUUCAUAGCUGAUGCUCCGGAUUGAUUCCUUGGAGGUAUUCCAAGAGUUUGAAGAAGAUCCUGAAAGACAACGAUUUUUAAGAUACUAUCUUAUUAACGUUGGUGGUGUCACAGCUAGAGAUGCUCUCAACCAAUUUCUGAAGGAAGCCAUGACGGAUAGCCUGACACAAAAAUUCUCUUGGACUGGAAAGUCUGUUUCAGAUAAAGAGAAUCUCCGACCGUUAUUUAAUACCUGUAUCGGAAAGGUAUUUUUUGGUUUCGAUGAUUGUUUGCGCAGAUCCCUUACGUGAGUAUCGAACAAUACCACAGCCACAUGAUUGUACAGAAUUUGCGAGACUGAUGCAAGAGGCAAUUCGGGGCGCACAAAAAACAUUGCGGGAUGCAAAAUGACGGGCCAAUCGCUCUGUCCAUGUGGAGGGUCGCAGACAAAAAUAUAUGACUGAAAUGGCUCAUCGUUACAAGGUUGAACACCCAGGACAAUGACACUGCGGAAUAAGAGACCCACAAUUUGCCUAUUAAAGAUCCUACGCGUAUU